GGCUGAAAUUCGCCUUCAUGAAGCUGGAAUUGCUAGUAAUGGCAGGUCAGCAUACUGCCGUGAAUACGUUCCCGGGCCUUGUACACACCGCCCGUCACACCAUGAGAGUUGGAAAUACCCGAAGCCUGUGAGCUAACUUAAAGAGGCAGCAGUCGAAGGUAGAGCCAAUGAUUGGGGUGAAGUCGUAACAAGGUAGC
rnacentral:rRNA from 1 species